GAGUUUAUAUAAUAGUGUUAACAGUGGUGAUGCAUGAAAAGCUCCAGGAUUGGAGGAUCUGGAUAAGUGGAUUGCUGAUAACCCCCAUUCACAAGUCCAAUGCUCAUGAGAUUUUUACAAUAUAUCUGUUGAUUAAGUAGUAGUAGUAGUCGUAUUAGAGCGAGAGAGAGAGAGAGAGAGAGAGAGAGAGAGAUGUCUCUUGUGAGUAUGCUAUGAACAGUCUUUUUGUAGUUUGCUGCUGAUGCUACUCAUCUACCAGUAGAAUGCUCAACAACUACAACAUAUUUCUUUCUCAGUUAACUUGUGCUCCGAGUUUGACAUCUAGACUCCUGAUCUCGGCGGCUGGUCUAAAUCUCACACGGCGAUGUGCGCAGGCGCCCCCCUAGUACUCCUCUCCUUCGUCUUCACAUUCACCUUCACCAGAUUCGGCACCCACCUCCUCGUAGUCCUUCUCAAGCGCCGCCAGAUCCUCCCGGGCCUCGGAGAACUCACCCUCCUCCAUUCCCUCGCCGACAUACCAGUGCACAAAGGCUCGCUUGGCGUACAUGAGGUCGAAUUUGUGGUCCAGCCGAGAGAACACUUCUGCAACGCUCGUGGUGUUGGAGAUCAUACACACUGCCCGCUGGACUUUCGCCAAGUCGCCGCCGGGCACCACCGUCGGAGGUUGAUAGUUGAUUCCACAUUUGAAACCAGUUGGGCACCUGCACACAUAACACUCAUCUUCUUACUUCCAUUGCAACAAUGUUUUAGAGGGCAUACAAUGGUUCCUUGAUUCACAUGGAGAUUGAAUAACAGGGAGUGCAGUGGAAAGGUUACCAGUCCACGAACUGGAUAGUGCGCUUGGUUUUGAUGGUGGCGACCGAUGCGUUGACGUCCUUGGGGACAACAUCGCCCCUGUACAUCAUACAGCACGCCAUGUAUUUCCCAUGUCGAGGGUCGCAUUUCGCCAUCAUGCUGGAGGGUUCGAAAGCACUGUUGGUGAUCUCAGCGACUGAUAGCUGCUCGUGGUAAGCCUUCUCCGCAGACACCACCGGCGCAUACGAGGACAACAUGAAGUGGAUUCGUGGAUAAGGCACCAGAUUAGUCUGAAACUCGGUGAUGUCCACAUUCAGGGCUCCAUCGAAGCGGAGAGACGCCGUCAGGGAGGAUACCACCUGCGUAGAUAUUUUAUUGAUUACAAAUAGUUAGUUAUAUCGAGGUGAUUAGAGUAGUGUUGAUUUUUUACAUUUCUUUGAGCCGCAACAUUGUGUCCGGCAGAGCUUUAAGACUCCCUAUUCACGUCACAUUUUCUUUUCCCUUGAUGUGAUCAGCUUGAAAGACUGAGCUCUCUUUUCUGAAAUUUAUGAUUAUGACAAGGAUUGGAAGUGAUCUUCAACCUGGGUGAUGAGGCGGUUCAGGUUGGUGUAGGUGGGACGCUCAAUAUCAAGAGAGCGUCGGCAGAGGUCGUAAGUGGCCUCGUUGUCAAGCAUGACGGCCACAUCGGUGUGCUCCAGCAACGAGUGGGUAGACAACACGCUGUUGUAAGGCUCCACCACUGCGUUUGAAACUUGGGGGCUCGGGUAUAUCGUGAAACCAAGCUUCGACUUCUUCCCGUAGUCGACUGAAAGGCGCUCGAGGAGAAGAGAACCAAGACCAGAACCGGUUCCUCCCCCUACCGCAUGGAAUACCAAGAAUCCUUGUAGGCCCGUGCAAUUAUCGGCAAGCUUGCGUAUCCGGUCCAGGCACAAAUCCACUAUCUCCUUGCCAACUGCAUAUUCCCGACAGUUCAAUUUGCUGGUUAAACUUUUUGGCUUUUUUUUUCCAUCUAUCUCCACAAGAAACCAUGGCUGCAGAGAACAGAUGGCACGAUGUGCAAAAACGUUGACCCGAUAAGGAGUUUGGAACGUGAUCUUACUGGUGUAGUGACCUCGAGCGAAGUUAUUGGCUGCAUCCUCUUUCCCACUGAUUAGCUGCUCCGGGUGGAACAGAGAGCGAUAAGUGCCCGUUCGCACCUCGUCAAUGACCGUGGGUUCAAGGUCAAGGAACACCGCUCGAGGGACAUGCUUCCCAGCUCCUGUCUCGCUGAAAAAUGUGUUGAACGCAUCGUCUCCCGCUGCAAGAGUUUUGUCGCAAGGCAUCUGGCCGUCUGGCUGUCCCAACCACAAGAGCACGACUCACAAUCAUCAAGCAACCAUGUGAUCCAGAUUUCUACCUUCAUUCUACUUGUUGCUAAGUAUUGGUAUGAGGCUUUAAAGACAUGAGGAGGUUCAUAGGGCUCAUGAGUCUGUCAUAUGGACUACUCUGAAUCUAGACAUACAGGUAAAAAUGAGUUGGGUGUAUGAAAAAAGUGCCGGUGAAGUCACACGCGUCUUGUUUUACUCAUUCACAGGUUUAGUUCUUUCCAUAAAUGCAUGUACCAUGAUAGGAUUGCUUUGUACCUGAAUCCCAUGCUCAAGGCAGUAGAGCUCCCAACAGGCGUUGCCCACUUGAAUUCCUGCCUGUCCAAUGUGAAUGCUAAUGCAUUCUCUCAUCCUUCAGUUAUGGUUAAUUAAAUUACGAGACACACGUUGAAGACGAGACAACUUGCCAAUUGAUAGGGUUGACCAGGGAGUUGAGCUAUUGAAAGAUGCUCACUGCUUUUAUAAUUAGUCCAAAUAAAUUAUCGUCAGGGCAGUAAAUGAA